UCUCUGGAGCUCUGCUCAGUCAACCUCCACCAUCUAGGGUCCAGCAACAGAGAGAGCACUGGCGCAUCCUGAUCUUGGGUCUCCAGAGUCCUCCCUUGGCCCUGCCUUGUAGGUGUGACAGUUGCCAAAGCCUCAAUGGGGGUUGGAACUUCCAGAUUAAAGCUGGAAUGCCUACCC